rnacentral:misc_RNA from 1 species
UUAACAAACAGAAGAUCAGUACUGAGGAUGGAAACAGUCGCCUUCACAGGAGAUCAUUCUCCAUGGCUAUCAAACGUCAUUCUACAAACAAGUCUUCAUCAUCUUCAUCAUCAUCUGGCACUUCAUCAUCUUCAGGCUCAACAAAUACAAAUGACUUUUAUGGGCUGCCAUUUCUAAAGAGAUGCAGCAGUGUAAAUUUAGAGGUUGAGAAUCCAAUUCAAGAAGCAAUUGCACAUUGCAAGCAGUCUCAGCAGUCGAUAUUCCCAAGAAAGACAGCAACAGAAGUUGGGUUUUACUCAUUGUCAACUUCCAAAAUUGCUAUUUGUGAAGAGCAAGAAAAAACUGAACUUUGCAGAGGCUGAACUUCAAUAAACAGUAAAAAAAAAAAGAAAG